CUCUCAGAAAACAUAAAACAGGUUGGAAAAGAGCAGACGAUUCCCACCGUCUACCUUUCCUUUGCCAAACUUCUGAGGAUAGAAUUUGUAAGCGCCAUUUUGAAAAAGGGCAAGUGGUUUCGUCACCAUGACAACCGCAGCCAUAUUGAUUUCAAAUAGGAUUGUUAGCUUUUGGACGUCCUGUCCUGUUGUCAAAUGACUUUGUUCUCUUGUUUUAAAACAUACACACAAUGUUAUACAACCCAGAAUGCAGUUUUGGUUCUUAAAAUUAGAAGCUAUUCCAAUAAAUUAAAGAAAGGAAGGGGGAAUUAAUUGGUCACAGCUGAAAAAACUCACAACAAAUCAGUGGAGGCAGCGAAUCAACAGAAACACCUCUCAUUUUAAACGUUUUAAAGUGAUUUUAACACAUUUUAAUACAGUAGAGUCUCACUUAUCCAAGCUAAACGGGUCGGCAGAACCUUGGAUAAGCGAAAAUCUUGGAUAAUAAGGAGGGACUAAGGAAAAGCCUAUUAAAUAUCAAAUUAGGUUAUGAUUUUACAAAUUAAGCACCAAACCAUCAUGUUAUACAACAAAUUGGACAGAAAAAGUAAUUCAAUACGCAGUAAUGUUAUGUAGUAAUUACUGUAUUUACGAAUUUAGCACCAAAAUAUCACGAUAUAUUGAAAAUAUUGACUACAAAAAUGGCUUGGAUUAUCCAGAGGCUUGGAUAAGCGAGACUCUACUGUACUAGUGUUUUAAAAUGGUAUAUUUUUUUUAAUGUUGUGGAAACAGAGUGAAAGGGCUCCUGUAUCUUUAAUUGUUGUUGAAGAGGUUUUGAUUCAUGAAAGUAAGUAACAAGAACAGUCACUGAAAUCCUGUCUUCUACACAACCUCUGGACAUGUGUAGAAUGCCCUGUGUAGAUGUCAUGAAUACUUUUUAAACAAAGGUUCUUUUUAUUGCAAUUUUCAGUUUGAAAGGGUAUAUCAGAACUUUUACACUUCUACACAAAGAAUGACAUUAGACAUAUAUAUUCUAUGCAACUACAUUGGAUUCACAAACAACCUACAGUUACACUGGCUAACGAACAAAGGGGAAUUACAUUUUUACUCAGCAUUCACAUAUCCAUUCAUUCAUCCUCAUGAAAACAUAUAUUACCAUAUUCUUUUCUCCCUCCUUGAAGAAGCACCUGCUUAGGCCAGACUCUGCCAACGCACAGUCUCAAAAUGCCAAAAUGCAUCCUCUUUCCCUUGUAUCAAUGCCAAGGAUCAGAUCCCAGUUUUCCUUAGAGCAGAACCUGACUCCCUGCAACAUGUAUCAUGACUCCAAAAUGCACUCCUUUCUCUUCCCCUGAGAAACGGAGGCAAGUGUCCAGACUGUGUUCCAUUGCAGAUCUGACACUCUCCAAAGUACACUAUCUCUCUUCUUCCCAAGGAGCAGAGCAUAGCAGGUGAACGGCUCCACUGUCUGUCACAAUUUUUGGAUUGUAAUAAGAUCUCUUAUAUAGCAAUACUAAUUUGGGGACCCAGCAGUGCCUGGGCUAUUAGAAGAAGGCAUUGUUUGUUUUGGACUGAUAGGUAAUAUUACUGAAGUUUGGUCCAGAUCCGUCGUUGGCUGGGUUCAGUGCUGUCUGGAUAAGGAUGAACUAUAACUCCCAGAUUUCCAGGGCAAUCACCCUUAAAACCCCGUCAGUAUUCGCAGUUAGCCAUGUUGAGUCUGUGUGCCAAGUUUGGUCUAGAUCUGACAUUAGCUGGAUUUAGUGCUUUCUGGAUGCAGGUGAACUGUAACUCCCAAAAUCAAGGUUCAUUCCCACUGCAGUAUGUUCAGUUGGUCAUGGGGCUUCUCAGUGCCAAGUUUGGUCCCCAUCCAUUGUUGGUGGGGGUCACAGUAUCAGUGAAGGUAUUGCAAGCCCCAUUAUCCGUGGCAAGUUUGGUCCAGAUCUAUCAUUGGUUGGGUUAACAGUGCUCUCUGGAUGUAGUCAAGUACAACUCUUGUAAAUCAUGGUGAAUUCUCCCCAAACCUCUUGUUCUAUUGCUAAUCAAUUCCUCUGUUAACUAUGUGCUAUAAGAAAGGGUAGGAAAGGGUUAAGGUAGAAGCAAUGGGAAGGUUCGUGCAAAUUAGGGAACCCUGGGAUGUCCAUUCUGCAGGAAAAACAGAACAUCUAGGAUGAAAUUGUCCCCACAUGAAAGCCUUCACUUGGGUGGGGGCGGGGGCAGAAUGGUGUUUGUGGAGGACAGUGGCUGGGUUUGGUCUACAUGUUCAUGAUGCCCACUAUAACCUGCAUGUCAGUGGGGGGAUGGCCAUUGAUGUCUUCUGCUCAGUGGGAACUAUAGCUGUUUGUGGAGGUAAGAGACUGUCUGUGUAAGUGGGCACCUCCUCCACAUACACCUAUAUACAUUUUUUCACUUUUAUUAUGUGUGGAUAGAUUAUGUGUUUAGAUGUUGCCCCAAAGUUGUGAAUGAAUGAUAGAUAUUUUCCAUCCUGAAACAUGUUGAGCCCAUCUCAGUUUCCUAGCAGAUGUUGACUCUGCGUAAUUGGUGUUGAUAACACAAACCUUGUGUUGACUUGCUUCUUAACAUUGUAAAGAUUUCCUUAACUUGAAAGAGCCAUUGUCUUUGAUUGAUAUAAACAUGUUGUUUUUCCCCAAAAGUUCAACAGUUAAUAAUUGUCACAGUUUUUAUCAAUGUCAGCAGUUCAGUUACUUUUAAUUACAGUUCGUUGUUUUCCAAGCCUCAAUCUUCAGAAUGGUGUCUCCAAAAUUCAUUCAUUCCUUCCAUUCAGUUCAUUCAUACCCACACACAUAAAAUCCAUGUUUAUCAAAUCAGCACACCAUAUUUAAUCAUGACAUAAGCACAGUUAUCUCUCAAUUUAUUUAGCAUACAAACCACAACAUCUGGAUCAAACGAUAUUAUUUUUCUCAACUGCUUUGAAACUCUUCUGCUUAGAUUUAUAAAAAGGAGUUAUUUUAUUGUACUAUUUCCUCAACCUCAGAGCCACAAGUGCUGUUGGGUUGCAAUUCCCAUUACUCAAAGUCCGCACAGCAAAUAAUAAUCAAAAGUGAUGGGAGUUGUCAUUCAACAAUAUCUGGGUAAAAAUUAAAGAGCACCAACCUUCAGUAUACUUUAAAUUGUAAAUUGUAGGAGUGAUACCAAAACGUGAUGUAUAUAUUCAGUUUUAUCAUAUUUAUUUACUGUGUUGUUAUAAGUGUUUUAUUUAACUUACUAUAUGGUGUGUAAUCAUGUUUUAUCAAGCCUUUAUUAGCCUAAAGGCUAAUGAAUAAAUUUACUACCACUUAGUUCAAAGUGUAAAAUAGCAUGGACUCAAUUAAUUUAGCAAGAAAAAAUACACCUCAUUGACAACAUUUGCCCUCUCGACCGCACUCGGAUGCUGCUUCAUUACAUGGGAUUCGAGUUUCUCCUAUGAAAUGCUGGAGGCUAUAUUGUAUAAAAGGCACGGGCAAACUUGGGCCCUCCAGGUAUUUUGGACUUCAACUACCACAAUUUCUAACAACCGAUAGUUGAAGUCCAAAAUACCCGGAGGGUCAAAUUUGGUCCAUGCUUGCUAUGCAAGAACACAAAUCUUAACUCAAAGAAAAAUAGUCCUGAAUUGCUGACCUCACUUUGCUCACAAUUAGAACCCUAUACCCACUUAUUGAAGAGUCAUCCCCAUUAUGUUCAGUGGGUUUAGUCCACCUUGGGUCCCACUCUGACUCUUUCAAGUGAAGCAAACAAAUAAUUAAAAUGCAUGGGAAAAAUCAUUUUACCAUUUCCUCCCCUUUUGUCUAUCAAGGAUCCGUCCUCCAAUUUCCAGAAGGAUGUACAAACCGAAGAGGCUCUCCUGCUAGAUGAAAGGUUGAAGAUCUGUUUCCUUGGGGGAAUGUUGCAGUGACUGCUUCAAACUCAGAGCCCUUUGAAGUUAUGUGAGCAUUCAAUAAAGAACUGCUGUCUCUGAAGAGUCAAGUACCCUAAAGCUGACAGCUUACCUUCAUGAGCACACAACUGCUUUGUGUCCAAUUAAGGUAAACCAAGAAAGAGUUUUGUUUAAGAAACAAACAAGCAAGUGGAUAGUGUAGAAGGAAUAUCAAACAAAGGUGCAGAGGAAAAUAAAAUGUAAAUGCAAUUCCCAGCUCAAGGUUGAGUGACUGUGGUCCCCGAUCCUUCCAAAGCCCUCCAUACACCCCAAGAUCCUUUUUUUUCCCAGAAAGGAAAAAAAGGAGAUGAACAGUUAGCAUUCCCACUAGCUUCCAGGACUGGGAGAUGCUCUUCCAUCACCACCCUUCUAAAAAGCACCAAUAAACCUGAAAAUCGCUA